UCCUUGAUGGCUCAGCUGGUAAAGAAUCUGCCUGCAAUGCAGGAGACCUGGGUUCAAUCCCUGGGUUGGGAA
rnacentral:tRNA from 1 species